AUGCAAAGAACUUUGAAAAGAGAGUUAAAGAGUACCUGAAAUUGCUGAAACGGAAGCGAAGGAAACCAGUGUUUGUUGGUUCAUAUUUCCCUGGCCACUUGUGGUUUGGGCGCUGUGAGCUUGCGUGGGUUUGGGUUGGUUGAUCCCUUUGGAAGAGCGCAGUCAGAGUUGAUGUCUGUUGCUAGCACUGGGUUUGACUGAUGCAGACGAAAUGGUUUUCUUUACCCCGUCUUGAAACACGGACCAAGGAGUCUAACAUAUGUGCGAGUACAGGGGUGUCAAACCCCGGUGCGUAAUGAAAGUGACAGUGGUUGGAUAUUUUGCACAAUCCGCCGGCCUCAAUCCUUCGGGAGAACGGUCUGAGUGUGAGCAUACAUGUUGGGACCCGAAAGAUGGUGAACUAUGCCUGAAUAGGGUGAAGCCAGGGGAAACUCUGGUGGAGGCUCGUAGCGAUUCUGACGUGCAAAUCGAUCGUCAAAUUUGGGUAUAGGGGCGAAAGACUAAUCGAACCAUCUAGUAGCUGGUUCCCUCCGAAAUUUCCCUCAGGAUAGCUGCAAUCGAUUUCAAUUUUAUCA
rnacentral:rRNA from 1 species